GCAGUUUAGUCAUCAUUGGCCGCAGAUUUUGUCCCACCUCCUGCGGUCAGGAGAAUGCGGAAGCGUGAACCGGAAGUGUGUCAAGACUCGGUACAUUAGGAAAAGUUAAUGUGGGCAGAUCAGAUUCGUUGAUGAUCAUCUCCACGAGAGCUUAGAAUUACCAGAAUAAUGCCUAACGCCAACACCGCGCUAUAAAGCGAUAAAAUUAAGAAAAGAUACGCAUAAAGGGGGGAUAUUUAUCCAUAAAACUAAAGGGAUCGAAAUUAGACGCGGUGUCUGCAUUAGAAAACCUGUAACGGUACUGUUUUUGGCAGAACUGCACCUUUCGAGAAAAAACGAACAGUUUCCAGUCAAGAUAUCCUUAUAAGGUGAAAGCAACUUGUUUUAGCUCGUGCUGCUGCGUCUGAUAAGCGACCGUCAGGAACAGCCACAGAAGAACGAGGCUGCAAUUACAUGUUAUGAUAAUUC
rnacentral:lncRNA from 1 species